rnacentral:rRNA from 1 species
GACUGGUAUUAGCCCAGCACGAAAUCUAUUGCUAAAAGCUUUCGAAAUGUCGUGUAUAAAUGCUUAUAUGGUGAUAUUUAUCGAUAACUAAAUGUAUUUAAACAUACUGCCAUAGAAGGUGCUAGCCCUGUAUGUUAUUGAUAAUAUUAUUUUUAUUGGUAUUUUAGAGUCGUGUUGCUUGGAAGUGCAGCACUAAGUUGGUGAUAAACAUCAUCUAAGGCUAAAUAUCCCCAUGAAUCCGAUAGCGAACAAGUACUGUGAAGGAAAGUUGCAAAGCACUCCGAAGAGAGAGUUAAAGAGGACGUGAAACCGACUCGAUGGAAGCGUACAAAGCCAGUCGCGGGUGUAUUUUUUUUAAAA